ACUGGCCCGAGGCAGGGGAACACAAUCAGAUUCACAGGUUGCAUCAGACCGAAAUUCUCCCGACCACCCAGUUCCAGAAACUGCCCUGGAGACAUUCCGGACCACCCAGUUCCAGGAACUGCCCUGGGGACUUUGAACCCAGCCCAGCCUUCCCGCCUUUCGAGGGGCGGGACUAACGGUCCCCCAGGAUACCCGAAAAGACCACCAAAGAAGGAAUACCCUGCGCCCUCCCAGAUUCACCACACCCCUUUCCCUUCUUGCCCUAUAAAAUCUUGCCCAACCCUCGCCCGGGUGUGACUUCUCUGGCUCCUUUCUCUCGGACCAGUGAACCUCGCCCGGGAGCGCUCCCUAAUAAAGCUCACUUGAAGCUUUCCUCUGUUUCGGGGUGCCGUUUGUUAAGAUCCGACCUUACACAGAUAUUCAACAGCAAGUCCCACAUGUGGACCUGUGUUCCAGACUCCUGUCCAUCAGCAGCACAGUAAGGACUUGAUUUGUAUUCUUUUUGAGUACUGGCUUGAUUUCUGGUGCUAGCUUCUUUUGGUUUUAUGGGCUGAACUUUUGAUGACCUCUGUAAAUGUCUUAAAUGGUUUAUAGAAAUCUUGCCUCUGUGGGUGAAGCAUAGCAGAGAAUCUGGUCUAUUACUGAUUUUUUUUCUAUUUUGUCUACUUGAAACUCAAAUCAAUGAAAAAUUUGUACCUAGGGGCUUCCCUGGUGGUACAGUGGUUAAGAAUCCACCUGCCAAUGCAGGGGACACGGGUUCGAGCCCUGAUCUAGGAAGAUCCCACAUGCUGCGGAGCAACUAAGCCCGUGCGCCACAACUACUGAGCCAGCGCUCUAGAGCCUGCGCUCCGCAACAAGAGAAACCACCGCAAUAAGUCCGCGCACCGCAACAGAGAGUAGCCCCUGCUCUCUGCAACUAGAGAAAGCCCGCGCACAGCAAUGAAGACCCAAUGCAGCCGAAAAUAAAUAAAUAAAAUUAAUUAAUUAAUUAAAAUUUGUACCUGAUGAGAACAAAACCCCCUUUUUUUCCUACUUGGCUGAAAUACAAAAUUGACUGAAAUUUAAAAAUUGAAGCUAUAAGCUCUCUGUUUGGGUCUGUAUAUAUGUUUAUGUGCCUGUGAGUAUGUAAUAUUUUCUUUCCUUCAUGGUACUACCAGAUUAUAAAAUCUCUUAAAAGAGUGCUACUUGGAGUGAUUUAGAGAUAAGUAAGCCUUAUCUAAUUCUAAAAUUCCCAGAAAUUAAGGAAAUUGAUCUUCUAAAAAUUUCAUUUUAUAUAUAUAUAUAUAUAAUAUUAAUGCAAAUGGCUUAGGAAUUUGAGUUCACAUUAUUUAGGUAAAUCUUUGGCAAAUGACACUAGUUUAAUAUUCUUGCUUUAAUAAAAAGAGCUAUAUUUUCUGAGUAUUAGCAAUAAGCAUAAGUAUAUUUUCUUGAUACAUAUUUAUUCUAAUUGGGUAUGUUUUUCAUAAACUUGUUCAUUUACUGAUCAAAUAAGCUAGCAUAUAUCAACUAUAUAUUUAAGAUUAUGAAAAAUGUAAAUUUGUGUUUAACCAAAUUGAAUUGUUAUUCUGGCAAACUUUAUUUCAAUAGUAAUUGUGUUUUGUAAUACGUCCUCUUUGAAAUAGCUUCCAAGAUCUCUAGGUGACUUAAACUCUUGGACAAAAGCUAAGUUGAGUUAAUUAAUGGAUAUUCAUAGAAACCUAGAUCAUUUCUAAGUAGGAUAGAUAGGAUACUGAAACAUUAAUUGCAAAGCAUAAUUUUUAGUUUAUAUAAUUUUUGUACACUUUUGCCUCUCAUUUUUAUUGAUACACAGAGGCUAUGUAUUUGGAUCUGUUAAUGAAUGUGUUCAUUUUUUGCAGCUUUGGGAUAUGUAUGGCUAUAAAAAGUUGUGAGAUGUAUAUUCAUAAGCUCUGCUGAUCUGCCAGAAAUGCUAGUGUAUUACAGAUAGUCACAAUUACCUAACCUCUUAGUUUUCCCUGUGAAAUAGAAGUGACUGUGAUUAAAAGUUAUAAUCAAUAUAUGUAAAUGAGUCUCUACUCAGAGCAAUAGUGAGAGAGAGGAACUCUGUAUGCAAGGUAUGCAGGUUGGGUUUUUGUUACGCAAAAAGAAGUUUUCUGCUAAAGUAAACCGACUCUUUGUUUUAGAAUGAGAAGGAGGAAGGUGUAGGAAAAAAUUGGGAUGGAUAUAGAAAGUUGUAAGCAGGUUCUCAGAAAGGAAAUUUUAAUUGUGGUGGUCAAAAGUGGCUAAAGUUUAAUGGAUUUAUUCAUGAGAUUGUCAAAAAGUGUUUUAGUAGCACAUAUACUGAUAAAAACUAAAGACUUUAGCUUUCUCUCUGUUCUUGGAUUACUUGCCUGCUUUAUUUAGUAAGAGGUUGUAAGAGAUUUUUCUUUACCUUCUGAGUAAUUUGCCUGUAUAACAAGGAUCUUGUGUCGUAUCAGAAUGACUUCCUGUGCUUUAUGUUGAUUUGAUCAUGUCCUUGAUUAUUUAAGAGUACAAAGUCUUCCUACUUUUGACAGAGCUAGGUUCUUUACAAUCAUGUUAUCCCUUAUGUACACUUUUAAUGCAUUUAACCAAAUAUUUUCAUUGUGGUUAAAUAGGUGGCCCAGUAUUGUUUCACAGUAACCCAUGAUUCUAUUUAAGCAAGUGUUCAAACCUCCUAACAAUUCUUGAUAUUCUGCAUUCCAAAUAUCAAAUUCCAAAUGAUAUAUUUUCCAUCUAAAACUGAUUUCUCAGAAGGCCCUUGAAAAAUCACAAAGAAUUUGUUCUUUUAUCUUAUAAAAAGAGAGGUUCUAGAAAUAAUUAGGUUUAUUUGAUAUGUUACUAUUAAUGAGCUGCAUGGGAAGAGUUGUCAAGUCAGAAGAAAAGCUUAACCUUCCCUACGCUAAUUUUGUAUAGGUAACAUAUUAUUAAUAUAAAUAUUUCAGAAAUUAUAUGUUGUUUGAGAAGUUCCUAGAGAUUUGUCAGUAUCCUCACUGUCUAUAGUAUGUUUCUAUUUAUUAGAGUUAAGUGCUACUUUGCCUGAUAUGAGACAACAAAAGGAUAAUGAAUACAAUCAUAAUUUCAGUAAUUUUUUAAAAUGUUAAGUUAGUUUCCACUUUCUUUAAUUCGAAUGUAGCUUCUUCUAGUCCAAUGGUUUUAAACUGGGAAUUCAUAUCACUUACCUAUGGAGUUCUAUGAAUACACAAAUAUUAAGGUCUUACUCCAUUCUACUGAAUCUCUUUACCUGAUAAAUUUGAUAUAUUCUUGGUAUAUUCUAAUUACGUACUUAGAAUAUCCAUAGUAUGUUAUGUCUCAGGAUUAUUAUAUGUUAAAUCUAAAGUUUUUUCUCUGUAAAGAUUAUAUUCAUUCAUUUUCAUAAAAUAAAUGUAAUAUACACUGGUCUUUGAAAAUAGGAUUGUUAUGUUUAUAGAUAUUUUGUCUAAAAUUUCUUUUGGAUUGACUUUGUUUUGCAUGUCACAGAAACAGUCUUCUUUGUCAGUUUCAUUAUUCUGAUAAUCAACUCUCAUCAGAUCUUUUACUUUUGAAAGUUAUCAAUAAUAAAUUAACCACAGCCAUUUUAAGUCACUUGUCAUCUACAGAUAAUUUUUUGUUUUACUCUGACGUUUUCCUGAAAGGACCUGCAAUUGGCCACAGGCCAGAGUGUGUCAACAAAGAUGGACUUUCUCAGAGUCCUGUGCCCAGGUACUCUUGGCUUUCCAGAACUCUAGUCCAGAAACAGAUGGGUUCCUGAGACUGCUAACCCAAGGUCAAGUAGAAUAAAAAUUAAUUACACAGGGCUGAAUAAACUGAUGAGGGAUGAUUGUGGAUUGGAAGUCAUCCAAUCCUUUAAAAGCCAAUAGAAUAUUGUUGAUGUUAAUGUUAUAUUUUCUAGAUAAAGGAACCCCUUUCUCUUUCUUCUUAAGCUAUCUAUAACUCAUAAUAAUUUAGUAUACUCUGCUUUUGUAAACAGAAAAUGAAACAUUUAUCUUUUUCUUUCUUCCUGACUCCUCCAGAAUUCGAAAACUCUUAUUGAGUAUUCUUAUUUUCAUGGCAAUGUAGGUAUUUACACAAUUUCAAUAGGAGUCUGUCUUCCUUGUUAACAGGACUUAAUUGAAAACAUUGGUUAUGCAACUAAGGCCUUGCCUGGAAUGAAUAAUUGAGAAUAAUGCUGAAUUUAAUCAGAUAUGACCAGACUUUUUUUUUUUUUUUGCAGUACGCGGGCCUCUCAUUGUUGCAGCCUCUCCCGUUGCGGAGUACAGGCUCCGGACGCGCAGGCUCAGCGGCCAUAGCUCACGGGCCCAGCCGCUCCGCGGCAUGUGGGAUCUUCCCGGACCUGGGCACGAUCCCGUGUCCCCUGCAUCGAUAGGCGGACUCUCAACCACUGCGCCACCAGGGAAGCCCAUGACCAGACAUUUUUAAGGGACUACAGUUAACUUUAUGGCACUAAUUCUUACAAAGCAUGCUUAGAAAAACUGGACUGUUCUCUGGUUUACAGGGUAAGUAACAAAGGUCCCUUUCUGGCAAGCCUAGGAACCUUAGGACAUUUCGGGAAUUUGAGAAGAGAGGAAUUUACCCAAGUUUAUAACACUACAAGUGAAAUCUGACGAUUCCUUCAAUAUCUGGCUACAACCCUCUAAACUAAGCUUUCCAAACUCUGUGCUUCCCGUGUUCAGGAACUAAAAUCUGACCAUCCAGAUUCCUUUUGUGUGCUGCACUGGCCUUUAAUCCCAGGAUCAGAAGAAACCCUAUGAGCUAAAGCCCAGUCACUUCAUAUAAAACUUGAAGGACUCAAGGACUCAUCACCAUAGCAGACCAUGCAUGGGUUGGAUUUUUCCCUGGACAAGCCAUUGUCUGGGCCAGUAAGGAAGCUUGGCAAGAUACUGGGUCACAUAUGCCCUUACAUGAAAGGUAACCAAGGCUGUGGACCACAUCACCAAGAGCAUCAACAUCUUAACUUCAAGGAACUCAGUGAGUGGUGUUCCACCAACUUCUUAGAAUCCAUUGGACUGGUUACUCUCAGGUGCAGCUCUUAAGGUUAUUUACUUUAGUACAAACUUUCAUAUUAAUACUUCUUAUCUUCAUUUCAGACAUUCCUUUUUUAAGAUAUCUGAUGUCCAGGACUCUAAAACAACUGAACAUUUCUAUCACUUCUCCAUAAAUGGUUCAACUGAUUUUGAAGAAACAGUACCAAAAAGAGAUUUUAAGAAAUUAUUUCUUGGACCCUGCUUGACCCUCCUCAAGAGGUUUAUUCUCACCUCUGAAUUGUUCAGCAAAAAAGGAUAUUCAUUCAUCUUCAACAAAAGAGACAGUGUUGAACUUCACCUAAGCCCUAUGUUCUUGGAGAAGAGCAGCAGUUAAGAAAUCCCCCACCCCCCAUCAACAUUUUGUGUUCCAGGAAAGGGCUUCCUGCAAAGAACCAAAGAACCAUCCUUCCCCAUAUGACUUAGAUAAGACUCACUGUUCACUUUUUGUUUGUUUGUUUUUUUCAGUUCAUAAGCAAAGGAAAGCUUUAUUCUUUGAUCAAAGAAUUGGAGAGGUAUGAGCUUGCAUUCUAGAGUUCACACUCUUCUGUUGACUCUUCCCCAUGACUCGUAUAAGACGUAAGGAUAACUCCACUAUCUACCUGUGACAUGGCCAAACAUAUACCUUUCCUUUUUUGUAUGAACCUGCUGAGAAGGCCCAACAGACCCUCCUACUUCUUGUUCUUUGUCUCGUGAUUAGAUGAGAUUAGAACUUUCUGCACCCUGAAACUAGCUGUGAUGGCUAAUUUUAUAUGUCAACUUAAUUGGGAUACUUGGAUAGCUGGGAAAACAUUAUUUCUGUGUGUGUCUGUGAGGGUGUUUCCAGAAAAGGCUAGCAUUUAAAUUGUUGAACUGGGUAAAGCAGAGGGCCCUUCCCAAUGUGGGUGGGCUGGGUGGAAGUCAUCCAAUCCUUUAAAAGCCAAAUAGAACAAAAAGGUGGAGGAUGGGUGAGUCCCCUCUCUCUGCUUGAGAUGAGACCUCCAUCUUCUCCUGUCCUCAGACGUGAGAGUUCUUGGUUCUCGGGCUUUUGGAAUUGGCACUUACACCACCAACCCCUUGAUUCUCAGGUCUUUGGACACAAUCUGAAUUAUACCACCAGAUUUCCUGGUUCUCUAGAUUGGAGAUGGCAGGUUGUGGGACUUCUCAGCCUCCAUAACUGUGUGAGUCCAUCUCUAUAGUAAAUCUCCUCUUAUAUCUAUCUAUAUACACUUUGGUUCUGUUUUUUGUUGUUGUUGUUUUGGAGAGCCCUGACUAAUACACUAGCUAUCCACAAGGAAAUAAACAUAUCCUGUUAAGCUGACUGAUACCUUCUCUGUUUGCAAACAACUCCAACUGUAGAUCACUCUAUCUACAACUUGUUUACCCUUCUCUAUGAAAUUUUAAGGCAAAACCAUCUCUGAGAUACUCUGAUCUUUGGAUCUGGGGUACUCUCCCUAUUGCAAUAGCUUGAAUAAAGUUAAUACCCUUACCUAUCCAGUUUUUGUCUUUGUUAAUAGCAAAAGGGAUUUUGUAUAUGUAUUUAGGGUCUCUAAACAGUUGACUUUAAGACAGGGAGAUUAUCCCUGGAGGGCCAAACCUAGUCAGGUGGGCCUUUAAAAGCAGAGAGUUUUCCCUGGCUAGUCACAGGAGAUCAGAGAGAUGUGCUUUGGCUGGCCUACGGGAAAGCAAGCAUCCAUACUGUGAACUGCCUACAGGUACUAUGUGGCAAGGAAUUGCAGGAGGCCUCUAGGAGCUGAGAGUGGCCCCCAGCAGAUACCCAGCCAGACACUGGGGGCUUCAGUUUUUCAACUGCAAGGAACUGAGUUCUGCCAACAAUGUGAAUGGGCUUGGAAAAGUUCCUCAAACCCCAGAGGAGAACUACAACCUGACCAACACCCUGAUUUCACUCUGUGAGACUCAGCUCAGAGAACCCAGCCACAUCGUGUUGGACUUCUGACCUACAGAAUUGUGAGUUAAUAAAUGGGUGUUGUUUUAGGCUAUUACAUUUGUGGUAAUUUUUUUACACAGCAGUAGAACUCUAAUGGAACCCCGUACAAACCAUUUUGUAUCUUCACUGAUCUGCACCUCUCUCCUUUCUCAGUGGUUAAUACCUCUAUCUAUGCUAUGAUCCUGCCCGCUUCUGCACCCUCAUCCACAGACAGCUGACUCCACUGAAUGCUCUGAUUGCUACUCUUCCUCUGUGGUUCAUCCCCUUCAACAUAUAAACAGGGUUAAAUCUCUCCUAUUAAAAGCAACAACAACAACAAUAAACAAAAAAACCCUCAUUUGACCUUAUCCUCCACUGAUCUUCUCUUCCCUUUGCUAGCUACUGAUUUGAAAGAACACUCGUCUUGAUGUGAAACUUGAUGUUUCUACUUCCUUACCUCUUACUUACCACUGAUCCAUUAUAGGAGGGCUUUCAACCAAACACACUAUUAACAUUGUUCUCAGUAAGGUCACCAGUGACCUCAGUUUUGCUAAACUUAGUAGAUACUUGAUCUCUUUGUGUGUUUUACCGUGAUACUCUUCUGGUUUCCUUAAGGCCACUCUCUUGUCUCUUUCCCUUAUUUCUCUGAGUAGUCCUUUGAUCCUUCUCAGCCUUCUUUAUAGGGGUGCUCUUCCUACCCACUCCAUAUAUUAACAUUAAUAGCUCAAGUUUCUAUGGGUUUUGUGAGGUCUGCAUACACCUACAAAUCUCACACACCCUGGGUUUUACUGGGAUUCACUUCUCAUAAACAAGUUCACUUUGCUGGCUGCUGCAGUGGCUCUGCUGUGUGAUCUCCUUCGCAUCACCUCUCAUGCUCUCAAUUGCACAUGAGCCUCCCAAUGGUGGCUGCCCUGCUCUUCCAAACAUCACACCCACUUCCAGUACUGCCACCUUCUUUCAGCAGAUAGAAAUAGAGUCUAGGAGCUCCCACCUUGCUGCCUCCUAUUCAAACUGGGCAGUUACCAGAAGCAAACGAAGCAAACUGAGGGUCUGCUAUGAGGGAUGCAAUGUCUCUUUCCCUCUUCUUCUUCUUAUUUUUAACAUCUUUAUUGGAGUAUAAUUGCUUUACAAUGGUGUGUUAUCCCUCUUAUUUUAUCUGCAGUUAGAGGAAGUCUCUAGCUAGUGCUGCUUGUGUCCUGCUUGAAAAUCUUUAGGGAAAAUCUUUCUGCAUUUCUUGCAGUCUUUUCUCUCUCCAGAACUCAGACCUACGUAUCCAUGGAGAAAAAUGGAAAUAGAGUUGAUUGACAAGCACCGAACUGUUCUCAAAAUUCUGUUCUCCUCUAUGGCAAAGGCGUUCUUACUGAGUUUGUUCCUAUGAAGCUCCCGAGACCAUGGAGGACAUCACUGUUGGGCCUCUUCUACUAUUACAUCAGAUAAGCCUUGACACAUUUGAAUCUCUUUGCAGUGGUGACUAGGGCAGAACUUCUGAAUUAUCCUAGUGAAAAGACCAAUUCUUUUCCCCUUGAAUCAUUUUGGAUUGUACCUUGGUAAAACACAAUAAAAGGCAGCUACUAAAAAUGAAAUAGAAAUCACACUGAUCAGGCAAUGUCAGACUGCCAUAAAUUUUCCAAAGGCUUACUCUCGAUGUCUGUUUUUCUCUAUUUGCAGACCUGUAACACACAGUUCAUUUCCCUGCACUGGCCUGCAGAGCAUUCUGAUUAAAACUGGUCUGUGAAGCGAAGGGAAGCCAAGGUCCGAAUGUCCUGCCUGUUAUCUUGAACUGUGUCCUAGUUACUAUUUUUCAGGAUUUAUUGUUUCUUCCAGCUUCUGGCGAACUGUGUAGAUGAUGACCAUCUUUCCUUCAUUUGAACUCUCAGCUCUCAAUUUGUUGGUGCCAAAUUUUCUACUUUCUGAAUAUUUUUAAAUCAUAAACAUUCCCCUAAGUCUCCUCUCUCUUUAGUUUAUUGCUCUUUGGUAAUGUUAACAUCUCCACCAGAGAGUGUGAGAGGUAUUUGCAGGGAAUCAAAUUGAAUUGUCAUAGAGAACAGACUUGUGGUUGCCAAGGGGGAGGAGGGUGGAAGAGGGAAGGAGGACUGGGAAUGUGGGAUUAGCAGAUGUUAACUAUCAUAUAUAGGAUGGAUAAACAACAAGGUCCUUCUGUAUAGCACAGGGAACUAUAUUCAAUAUUCUGUGAUAAACCAUAACGGAAAAGAAUAAAAAAAAAAAGAAUGUCUAUAUGUGUAUAACUGAGUCACUUUGCUGUACAGCAGAGAUUGGCACACAUUGUAAAUCAACUAUACAGCAAUAAAAAAAUUUUUUUUAAAGAAUAACAGGGCUUCCCUGGUGGCGCAGUGGUUGAGAGUCCGCCUGCCGAUGCAGGGGACACGGGUUUGUGCCCCAGUCUGGGAAGAUCCCACAUGCUGUGGAGUGGCUGGGCCCGUGAGUCGUGGCCACUGAGCCUGUGCGUCCGGAGCCUGUGCUCCACGAUGGAAGAGGCCACAACAGUGAGAGGCCCGCGUACCGCAAAAAAAAAAAGAAUAACAAAUUGAAUUGUCAGCGUUUUGGGUAGCAUCUUUUGCUAAAACUUAAACAGAUGUUUGAACACUAACUGUGAAUUUCAUUUUACUUCAUAAAAAUAUUACUCUACACUUGAUCUGAAGGAUCUUCCCUCCCAGCAAGACUCAGAGUUGAGAAAACAUAGAAAUAUUCAUUUACUCAGGUGGUAGGUGGAGGGAGGUGGGGUGGGGAUUGAACUCAGCUAUGUCAUUCUUUUCAUCUAACUUUCCAACAGUUCUCGUUUCUUUCCCAGUUUUUUCCAACUCUUUAUUGUGCAGAUCAACUUAACCUCUAAAGCUUCUCUUUUUCCAGGCUCUGAAUUUAGAAUCAUAAUGACCUGAAUCAUAAAGUUGGGGACCAGGGUAGUAUACCCCAAAAUGUGCCUUGGUGGCAUAUUGAUUAUUUUGAAUUAAAGUUACUUAAGAGAUAGCCAAUGCAAGAGGGAUACUCCGGCCCUGCUUUCUGUCUCCCUGAAAGCAGGUGCACGCCCUACAUCUGGAGGUAGGACUCCCUUGUCUCCAGAAUUUGAGGCCAAGAAGCCUGUAUAAACAAAGAUUGUUACUUCUUUAAUUCACUACCCCGAUCCCAAACUCUGUUUGGAUUCUUCACUCACUGGGUGGGUACCUAAAACCUAAGUUUUUUUGUCCUAUCAAUUCCUCACAAAAUGUAUUGUUUCUUUGUCUAAAAAGUAUAAAAGCUGCCUACUUUGGCCACUUCUUAGUUCCCAUUUUAUGAGACCUCCAUGCUCAUGAAUUAAAAUUUGCUCCUUUUCUGUUGCUAACCUGUCUUGUGUCAAUGUUAUUAUCAGUUCAGCCACAAGAACUCAAGAUGAGUAGAGGGGGCAAUUCCCCCCUCUCUAACAGUUGGCGAGUCAGGCAGGAGCUGGCUGGACCUUGUUUCCUGCCUUAAAGCUGCUGCAACUGAGAAAUCCUGGACAUUUGACAAAGGCCAACAGAAGGUAAGAUUUCUUACCACGUCAGCCUCCCAGAUCUCUGCCUGCAAGGUCUGGUGGAAGGGAAAGCGGUGAAAGCCCCUUUUCUCUCUCUCUCAAUUUAGAUUAGUGGGAGAAAAUAUUUGUGGAGCUAGUCCCUUGGACUUAGCGACUCUUGGGGAUUCUUUUCUUCCCAGAGAGGGUCACUUUUUCUUUGUCUCUGUCUAUUGUGUUGUUUGUCAUAAUGAGGAAGAAACAGGGCAGACCGCAGGCAUGGGUCCUAUAAGUCUGCUUGCAAGCUGAUCGUACAGACUGGUGAGUUAACAGUUCUCAUCAGACUGGUGUGUAUUUAGAUAGACUUUGCUGUGGUUCCUAUAUAUAAAAAACAGAUGAGGUUUUUCCUUCUUCCUUGUUCUAUGUCUGGAGAGUUGGCUUUGUGUCCAGUGAGAAUAUUCUCUCUGGUUUCCACCAUGCAGAAGGUGCACUUACUAGGGUGCAUCUGAUGUCCCAUUGAAUAGACUAGGGUUCUGAGACACGAAGUCACAAUGAGCAUGCUCUUUGUUUGGCCAUCCCAGCUUUCAGGGGAUUUUGUUAUAAGGGGUCCAAGUUCAUAAGGGGCCCUUUUUUUUUCUUUUUUGGCUGCAUUAGGUCUUCGUUGCUGCACAUGGUUGCGGCGAGCGGGGCUACUCUUCAUUUUGGUGCAUGGGCUUCUCAUUGCAGUGGCUUCUCUUGUUGCGGAGCACAGGCUCUAGGCACACGGGCUUCAGUAGUUGUGGCACAUGGGCUUAGUUGCUCCGCGGCAUGUGGGAUCUUCCCGGACCAGGGCUGGAACCAGUGUCCCCUGCAUUGACAGGCUGAUUCUUAACCACUGCGCCACCAGGGAAGUCCCGUAAAGGGCCUUUAUCAACUCAACCUUUGUUUCUUGUUAAUGCUGGAAAAGUCCCAUUCCAGUAGCAACUGCCUGAUGACAUAAAUUAGUGGGUCUAUGGCUGUGAGGAACCCCACAUUUUUGUGGGACACGAGAGGCACUGUUUCCACUGUACCAUUCUUACUGCCUAUAGUAAUGAAAGGCUUUUACUUUCUUAGACUAUCUCCGAGAGUGAACUUUCUGGAUCUUGUGAGGGCUACAUAUUCUCUUGUGAGAAUAUGCCUCUUGCAUCUUUGGCUAAUUGACUAUAUUUUAAAGGAAUUUUGGUUUUUUUUUGAGAGAGAGCUCUCAUAAACAACCGUCACACUGGUACUUACGGGAGGAUCAAACUGAAAGGAGAAAAAGAUAAGUAUAAUAAGUGGCCCUUAUUAAGAAGAAAGAACAAAAAUCAGACUGAAAACAAAAGUCCAACAUAAAUUCCCCUUCUUAAAAAUUGCCCUGUCUCCUCAGCAAUUCCCAGGCCCUCCUACAAAUAAUCGGGAAAUAAAUCAGCUGGAGUCCAAUAUUCAAGGGUUAAUAGAAACAACUGUCUGUCUUGCAAAUGUCUACACAACCAGCAGUACAACACUAGAAACAAGUCAAGGCCCAUCUAACUUUACCAGUCCCAAGGCCUUGCCUGUUUCUCUCAAAUUUCUCAAUAUCUUGUAGAUAUUAUAAAAGAUCAAGAUACUGGAGCAGAAUUGUCCUGUUGAGAAAAAAAAAUUACCUUAAGACUUAUGACAACAGACAAAUAUACUACAAAACUCCUAAGAGAAAACUUACAUUUUCUUUCUCUGUCCCUUAAAGUUAUAAAUCUUAUCAUGUCUUUGAAAUGUAGACACAGCCCACAUCCUCUGAGACUGAGCCCAGAUUAGCUCAAUUGGUAGAUCUGAAACUAAAGGAAAGAAAAGGGAAAGAGGCCUUUUUCAACACAAGCUGUUAAAAGUACUCUCUUGCCCAAAUAGCCUCCUUAAAAUUGCUUGUCAACAACAAAUACAGAUCUUAAUAGUCUUCUCCACAAAUAAUAAAAGACUUUAGCCAUCUGAAGGAAUAAUCCUAGCUAUUCCAACUGUUAUUUAUAAACUAGUGAGUUUUGUAUUGUACCUAAAGUUUUAAAAUGGAAACUAUGAGAUCUCUUGUUGUGUCUUUCUAUAUGUCUAUAUGUGUAUGUUAUAAAUAUGGUAUCCUUCUACCUCUGCAUGGUAUUGCCAAAAUUAAUUUAUGAGUUCUAUUUAAUUGACUUAAACAAAGAAGCACUCAUAUAAAAAAAUCUUUAAAAUAUAAUAAAAACUAACUCAAAUGUUUUUCAAGUUUAUGUGAUCUAGGAUAUUCUUUAGUAAAUAAAAGCUAAUUUUAAGCUUGUUUAUUUAAUUAAUAUAGGCAUGUCUUCAGAAUUAGCAUUAAAUAUAAUGCAUAUAAAUAACUUUUGUUCUACCUAGGUUUGCUAGUCAAAGGGCAAAUGUUUGUCUCUGUUGCAAAUUUUGUCAGAAAAAUAAAACACUUGAUAAUGACUAACUGCUUUAAUGUCUCAUGAAAUUUUCAUGAGUAAUCUAUGUAUGAUUAUUAAGAACAAAUGAAUUGGGCUUCCCUGGUGGCACAGUGGUUAAGAAUCUGCCUGCCAAUGCAGGGGACAUGGGUUCGAGCCCUGGUCCAGGAAGAUCCCACAUGCCACGGAGCGACUAAGCCCGUGAGCCACAACUACUGAGCCCACGUGACACAACUACUGAAGCCCACGCGCCACAACUACUGAAGCCCAUGCACAUAGAGCCCAUGCUCCGCCACAAGAGAAGCCACCGCAAUGAGAAGCUUGCAUGCCCCAAUGAAGAAUAGCCCCUGCUUGCCACAACUAGAGAAAGCCGUACGCAGCAACGAAGACCCAACACAGCCAAAAAUAAAUGAUUAAAAAAAAAAAAGAACAAAUGAACUAAGUAGAUGUAAAUGAGAUAAGACUUUUUAGGUGAACUUUUUAACAAUAAUUGUUUUAUGAUAUGUCUAUGUAAUUUCCUAAAUCUCUUUGGUAAUUUACACCCUUUGAGUUUUGCUAAGUUAAAUGAUUGAAAUUCAUUGAAUGUCUAGAUCAUUUCCAAAUAAGAUAAGAUACUAGAACAUUAAUUGCCAAACAAGUCUAAGUUUACCUACUUUUGACCUCUUAUUAGAGAGACUAAGUAUGUUUGGGUCUAUUAGUAAAUAUGUUUUGUGCUUUAUUGAAAGCUUGUACUAUGAAGUAAUGUAUGUUUCUAGAAAUUAUAAAAUGUAUUUAUAAGUUUGCCAAGACACAAAAUUUUAAUACAGUUCACAAUUGUUUACUUCUUUAUUUUCACUAAAAAAUUAAGAUUUCAAAGGAUUAAGAAUUCUAACUAAUAUAUGUGGUUAAAACCAACAGUGUAAUAAUAGAAAUAGGAUGUGUUUUUGAGUAAGAAAAUGUAUAAGGUAUGGAGAUGUUUUUGUUAAAGAAAUAGAAAGUGAUUUUAUCCUAAAGCUGGUUAAUUCUAAAUGGGAAGGAAAACAAGGGACAAACUAAAAUGGGCAUAAAAAGUUGUAAAUAUUUGUAAAGGAAUCUUUAGAAAGGAAUUUUUUGUUUGUUUGUUUGUUUGUUUUGUUUUGUUUUUUUUGCGAUACGCGGGCCUCUCAUUGUUGUGGCCUCUCCCAUUGCGGAGCACAGGCUCCGGACGCACAGGCUCAGCGGCCAUGGCUCAUGGGCCCAGCCGCUCCGCGGCAUGUGGGAUCUUCCCGGACUGGGGCUCGAACCCGUGUCCCCUGCAUUGGCAGGCAGAUUCUCAACCACUGCGCCACCAGGGAAACCCCUAGAAAGGAAUUUUAUGUGUUGUCAGGACUGAGUAAGAUUGGAAUGAAUUUAAUUAAGUAAAUAAGUUUUAAUGUCAAAAGUAAACUGGUGUAAAAUGGAAUUUUGUUUUUUCUCUGUUAAAAGAACAAAGUUGGGUUUUUUUUUUUCUCUUUUUUUUUUUCCUAUUGUUCUGUUCUUGACAAUAAGAGAUUAUGAAAACUUGUUCUUUAAGUAAUCUGCCUAGGGGAAGAAAAAAAAAUCUUAUGUCUUGUCAAAAUAAUCACUUAUGUUCUAUGUUGUCUUUAUCAGUUCUUUGAUUACUUAAGUAAACCAAAUCCUCUCAAUAUUAAAAGAGAUAAGUUUUGCUCUGGACUAUGUAACCUUCUAUAUUUGCCUAUGAAGUCUUUAUUAUUUUGGUUAAAUAUAUGACUAAGCAUUGUUUCACAGUGGCCUAUUUGACUAAGUGUUUUAAAACCUUUUUGAUAUUUUUGACAAAAUUCCCCCAAAUCAAAUCUAAAUGAGUCCUUUUGACUUAGAACUAACUUUGAGAUAUAAGGUAUUUCAGAGGGCCCCUGAAAUAUCUCAAAGAUUUGUUCUUUCUCCUUAUAAAAAUAUAUUAAAUUAAUUAGUGCAUUUGAUAUGUUAAAUUACGUAGGAAGCAUUGUCAAGAAGUAAUGUUAAGCCUUCUUUAUGUUGAGUCUGUAUAGGUAUGUAAUAUACAUGUUCCAGAAACUAUGUGAAAUUCCUGAAAGUCUUAUAUGUCUUGGCAUAAAAUGUUGUUAUCAAAAUUGAGGCUCACACUAAAAGGACUGAACUUAAGUAUCAGGGAAAUGCUUUGACUUUCACGCAAAGGCAACAACAACAGAAUCUGUAAAGAUUAUGGCACAUGUAGAUGAAGUCUAUUCUACUUCUGCAAAAAAAAUUGAUCCCUUAUUGCCUGACUUUUGCCAUCCUGAUGGCCUUAUAACAUGGCAACAGUCUGCUCCUGAAUCAGAGAAAUUAAGAUGGAUAAACAAGAGCUGUAAAUUAAACAACGGUCAGGGCCAUAGGAAACCCAAGAUGGCUGCUUUGUUCUUCCAGCUUCCAGACAAACCUCAUUUUUUGUUUUUUUUUGUUUUUGUUUUUGUUUUGCAUUCCUUCACCCACCAUAGUGCAUUUAAGAUGACUCAAGUUGUAAGUAGACAUUGGUGGGAAGACUUCUAUAAAAUUGCAGAAACAGUCUACCAACAAUGCCUGACCUGUCAGGUCCAUAACCCUGGAGAAAAAACCAACUAUUUUUGUCCCCAGAGGUCUCAGACCUCUUCCCUCUGGACCCUGUGAACACCUGCACUGGCCUUCAUUCAACGGAUACUUAGUAUGGGUUAUCAAAACAUACUUAUUAUGAUGUGUAUGUUUUCCAGAUGGGUUAAAGCCUCCCCUUGCUGCAAGUCCGAUGCCCUCAUAAUAGCAAGAAAAUGGAAAGAUGUUUCCUACUUGGGUAUACCUUCAACAGCCUUCAGUGAUCAAGACAUUGACUUCACUAGGCAAUUCAUAAGAGCCUUAAAAAAUGCCUUGCAAACUUCUUGGAAUUAUCACUGUCCCUAUCACCCUCAGUCAUCAGGCAAGGUUGACAGAUCUAAUGGAAAAACUGGACUCAAGCAGAACAAGGAUUAAUUACAUAGGAUUGAAUGAACUGAUGAAUAUGAUUAUAAUUUUUAUGACUUUUUGCCUCAAAUAUUACUGUUUUUUAAAUCUUUUGUUUUCUAGAUACAAGGACUUUUUUAAAGACUUACAGCAACUUAGUAAAUUAUACCUUUGUAAGCAGAAUUGAAACAUUUAUCUUUUUCUCCAUACCUGAUCACUUCAGAAUUCAGAAACUCUCAGCCUUGAGAAGCAUUUAAAGUUCAAUCUGGAAAUUCAUUACGAAAAGUUCAAGCACAGCAGAUUUAAAAGAGCCUAUAUGGGGACUUUGCUGAUGGCGCAGUGGUUAAGAACCUGCCUGCCAAUGCAGGGGACACGGGUUCGAUCCCUGGUCCAGGAGGAUCCCACAUGCCACGGAGCAACUAAGCCCAUGUGCCACAACUACUGAGCCUGCGCUCUAGAGCCGCAAGCCUCAACUACUGAGCCCGCGAGCCACAACUACGGAGCCCACGUGCUGUAACUACUGAAGCCUUUGCGCCUAGGGCCCGUGCUCUGCAACAAGAGAAGCCACCACAAUGAGAAGCCUGGGCACCGCAAUGAAGAGUAGCCCCUGCUCACCGCAGCUAGAGAAAGCCCAUGCGAGGCAACAAAGACGGAAUGCAGCCAAAAAUUUUUAAAAAUUUAAAAAAAUUAAAAAUAACAAAAGAACCUAUAUGGCCAACCGCUAUUCUUGCUGUACUUAUAUACAAAAUCAGACCAAGUUUAUCAAAUCUAAACUUAUUUUGCAAACAAAUCAGUUUUAAUUUGGCUAUCUUUGAUAGAAAUGAGGGUGAUUUUAGAGAGAAAAAUUAUGUUUCAAUAGAAACUAUAAUACACACUUGUGGAUAUUAGAUUCUAGUGCUAUUAAUAUUCCUUGAGGUUUUGUUAUUUCCUGAAAACUGGACUGGAUCCUGAAUUUUUCUAGUUUCCUCCAAAAUCUGGCUAUAACUCUAACAUUUCCAGUCUUCUCACAUCCUUUUGAUUUGGAAUCAUCGAGAACUAAAACUGCCUUUUUUCUGAAAUCCUGCAAACUGAAGCUAGAUGGUUUGAUAUAAACUUCAGAGAAAUUACCACAAACAGCUCACAUUUAAACAAUCCUUGUGCCUGUUUCUGUAUGAGUCUCUCAGAAAGCUCACCUGAACACCCAAUGACAUCAUCAGAGACAUUUCAAACUGCAAAAGAUGCAUGACACUGACAUCUAGAAAUCUUUUUGACUGACUGCCCUCUGGGCUCAGAAACUGGCUUAUAAUCUGCUCCAAUCAUUAACCAUUGUUUUUUCUUUUGUUUCCAUAUAAAUGCCUCUUAUUAAAGGCCUGAUUGUUUGUACCAUAGGACUAGCUUUGGGAGCCCAUCUGCAUCACUGCCUCCUGAAAUGAGAUAUAACUGUUUAACUGAACUGACCUCAGAACUAAGAAAAUUAUUCAGUGAAAUGGAGGACUUUACUAACACUUUCUCUCUCUCUGCAGUCAGCAGCUCAGCUUUAAUAUGUGAGUCUUCCAGGUAUGUUUCAGAGGAGGGAACUGUUGUGGCCCAGGGUAGGCUGUCCCAAAAUGUGCUUCAGUGGCAUAUUGACUUUUUGAAUUAAAGUUACUUAAUAAAUCUCUCAUGUGAAAGGUGCACUCCUUGUAUCUGGAGAUAGAAGAACACCCUUAAUAAGCUAGAUAUAAAUUUUGGGGCCAAGAAGCUUGUAUAAAAAAUAUUGUUACUUCUUUAAUUCACUACCCCAAUCCCAAACUCUAUUUAGAUGCUUCACUCAUUGGGCACCCAAAACCUAAGUUUUUUUGUGCUAUCAAUUCCUCACAAAUUUGUUUUUUGUUUUGUCUAAAAAGUAUAAAAACUGUCUGCUCUGGCCACUUCUUAGUUCCCAUUUUUAUGAGGCCUCCACGCUCAUGAAUUAAAAUUUUUCUUUUUCUCCUGUUAAUCUGUCUUGUGUCAAUGUGAUUAUUAGGUCAGCCACAAGAACUCAAGAGGGGUAGAAGGGAAACUUCCCCCUCCCUGACAAUAGAUCCCUACAAUUAAGGAGAAAUGAGGAGGAGAUAAUUAUCUGCAUAAGUCAUAUUUACAACUGUUUUCUUUUACAUAUAAAUCUCUGAGUCAUAAAUGUGAAAGUCAUGGUGGACCUCAAGUUUCUUCACAUUUAUUAUUCAAAAACACUAACUGACUAGAAAUGACACGCCAGAGCAAUUUUUGAUCAUUUUGAGGUGAAAACAAACAAACAAACAACCCCCCUCCAAACAUCCAGGAUCUUUUUCUUUUUUCCCAGCACCAAACAGAAACUUAUGGUAACUUAAUUCACCAUCUACAACUUGUUUGAUAAGACUUAAAAUGCCAGGUUAAGACUGGCAUUUUCCUGACUUCAUCCAGGAAAAAAAAGACCAAGGUUAUGGAUCUCUCUUCUUAACAGUAAACUGUCAUAUUUUAAGUACAAUCAUGUCUCAUGUUUCUAAAAUAUUCUCCAGACACAUGUUCCCUGAAAGUCUCUGAGUUGAAUAGGAGAGAUUCUCUUCCACAAUUGGCUGUGAACAAAAUAUGAAAUGAUUGAGUUACUUUGUUAACUAAAGGGAAAAGAUUAAACUGAUAAGGGUCAUCAAAAUACUGAGACUUUUUUUUUAUUGGAGUAUAAUUGCUUUACAAUGGUGUGUUAGUUUCUGCUUUAUAACAAAGUGAAUCAGUUAUACAUAUACAUAUGUUCCCAUAUCUCUUCCCUCUUGCGUCUCCCUCCCUCCCACCCCUCCAGGUGGUCAAAAAGCGCCGA